rnacentral:rRNA from 1 species
UACGGGGGGAGCAAGCGUUGUUCGGAUUUACUGGGCGUAAAGGGCGCGUAGGCGGCCACCGCAAGUCAAUUGUGAAAUCUCCGGGCUUAACUCGGAAAGGUCAACUGAUACUGCGGGGCUAGAGUGCGGAAGGGGCAACUGGAAUUCUCGGUGUAGCGGUGAAAUGCGUAGAUAUCGAGAGGAACACCUGCGGCGAAGGCGGGUUGCUGGGCUGACACUGACGCUGAGGCGCGAAAGCCAGGGGAGCGAACGGG